rnacentral:rRNA from 1 species
CCUACGGGGGGCAGCAGUAGGGAAUUUUCGGCAAUGGGCGAAAGCCUGACCGAGCAACGCCGCGUGAACGAAGAAGGUCUUCGGAUUGUAAAGUUCUGUUAUAGAGGAAGAAUGGUGUACGUAGGAAAUGGCGUACAAAUGACGGUACUCUGUGAGGAAGCCACGGCUAACUACGUGCCAGCAGCCGCGGUAAUACGUAGGUGGCGAGCGUUAUCCGGAUUUACUGGGUGUAAAGGGCGCGUAGGCGGGAUGGCAAGUCAGAUGUGAAAUCCAGGGGCUCAACCCCUGAACUGCAUUUGAAACUG